AUGAACGCUGGCGGCGUGCCUAAUACAUGCAAGUCGAGCGAACAGACGAGGAGCUUGCUCCUCUGACGUUAGCGGCGGACGGGUGAGUAACACGUGGAUAACCUACCUAUAAGACUGGGAUAACUUCGGGAAACCGGAGCUAAUACCGGAUAAUAUAUUGAACCGCAUGGUUCAAUAGUGAAAGACGGUUUUGCUGUGACUUAUAGAUGGAUCCGCGCCGCAUUAGCUAGUUGGUAAGGUAACGGCUUACCAAGGCAACGAUGCGUAGCCGACCUGAGAGGGUGAUCGGCCACACUGGAACUGAGACACGGUCCAGACUCCUACGGGAGGCAGCAGUAGGGAAUCUUCCGCAAUGGGCGAAAGCCUGACGGAGCAACGCCGCGUGAGUGAUGAAGGUCUUCGGAUCGUAAAACUCUGUUAUUAGGGAAGAACAAAUGUGUAAGUAACUAUGCACGUCUUGACGGUACCUAAUCAGAAAGCCACGGCUAACUACGUG
rnacentral:rRNA from 1 species